CUGGCCUUGACAUCCAGAGAACUUUCCAGAGAUGGAUUGGUGCCUUCGGGAACUCUGAGACAGGCGCUGCAUGGCCGUCGUCAGCUCGUGUCGUGAGAUGUUGGGUUAAGUCCCGUAACGAGCGCAACCCCUAUCCCUGGUUGCUAGCAGGUAAUGCUGAGAACUCCAGGGAGACUGCCGGUGACAAACCGGAGGAAGGUGGGGAUGACGUCAGGUCAUCAUGGCCCUUACGGCCAGGGCUACACACGUGCUACAAUGGCGCGUACAGAGGGCUGCCAACUCGCGAGAGUGAGCCAAUCCCUUAAAACGCGUCGUAGUCCGGAUCGGAGUCUGCAACUCGACUCCGUGAAGUCGGAAUCGCUAGUAAUCGCGAAUCAGAAUGUCACGGUGAAUACGUUCCC
rnacentral:rRNA from 1 species